UACAGGGGGUGCGAGCGUUGUUCGGAAUUAUUGGGCGUAAAGGGCGCGUAGGCGGUGCGGUAAGUCACCUGUGAAAUCUCCUGGCUCAACUGGGAGCUUGCAGGCGAAACUGCCGUGCUGGAGUGUGGGAGAGGUGCGUGGAAUUCCCGGUGUAGCGGUGAAAUGCGCAGAUAUCAGGAGGAACACCGGUGGCGAAGGCGGGUCUCUGGGCCGUAACUGACGCUGAGGAGCGAAAGCAUGGGGAGCGAACAGG
rnacentral:rRNA from 1 species